UACGGAGGGGGCGAGCGUUAUUCGGAAUCAUUGGGCGUAAAGGGCGCGUAGGCGGCCCGGUAAGUCAAAGGUGAAAUCCCUCGGCUCAACUGAGGAACUGCCUUUGAAACUGUCGGGCUUGAGGCCGGGAGGGGGUGGCGGAAUUCCCGGUGUAGCGGUGAAAUGCGUAGAGAUCGGGAGGAAGGCCGGUGGCGAAGGCGGCGCUCUGGAACAUUUCUGACGCUGAGCUCGAAAGGCGUGGGGAGCAAACAGG
rnacentral:rRNA from 1 species